UUACUGGGCGUAAAGCGCAUGCAGGUGGUUUGUUAAGUCAGAUGUGAAAGCCCGGGGCUCAACCUCGGAACUGCAUUUGAAACUGGCAGACUAGAGUACUGUAGAGGGGGUAGAAUUUCAGGUGUAGCGGUGAAAUGCGUAGAGAUCUGAAGGAAUACCGGUGGCGAAGGCGGCCCCCUGGACAGAUACUGACACUCAGAUGCGAAAGCGUGGGGAGCAAACAGGAUUAGAUACCCUGGUAG
rnacentral:rRNA from 1 species